rnacentral:rRNA from 1 species
AUGCGGUUGCUUACACAUGCAGUCGUACGGGCGGGGGUGACCUCGUCAGUGGCGGACGGGUGAGUAACGCGUAGGUAUCUGUCCUUGGGUGGGGGAUAACCGUGGGAAACUGCGGCUAAUACCGCAUAUGUCCUGAGGGGCAAAGGCCUGAGGGGGUCGCCUGAGGGUGAGCCUGCGUCCGAUUAGCUGGUUGGUGGGGUAAUGGCCUACCAAGGCGAUGAUCGGUAGCUGGUCUGAGAGGAUGGUCAGCCACACUGGGACUGAGACACGGCCCAGACUCCUACGGGAGGCAGUAGUGGGGAAUAUUGGACAAUGGGCGAAAGCCUGAUCCAGCAAUGCCGCGUGGGUGAAGAAGGUCUUCGGAUUGUAAAGCCCUUUCGGCGGGGACGAUGAUGACGGUACCCGCAGAAGAAGCCCCGGCUAACUUCGUGCCAGCAGCCGCGGUAAU